rnacentral:rRNA from 1 species
GACGAACGCUGGCGGCGUGCCUAAUACAUGCCAGUAGAACGCUGAAGAGAGGAGCUUGCUCUUCUUGGAUGAGUUGCGAACGGGUGAGUAACGCGUAGGUAACCUGCCUUGUAGCGGGGGAUAACUAUUGGAAACGGUAGCUAAUACCGCAUAACAAUGGAUGACACAUGUCAUUUAUUUGAAAGGGGCAAUUGCUCCACUACAAGAUGGACCUGCGUUGUAUUAGCUAGUAGGUGAGGUAACGGCUCACCUAGGCGACGAUACAUAGCCGACCUGAGAGGGUGAUCGGCCACACUGGGACUGAGACACGGCCCAGACUCCUACGGGAGGCAGCAGUAGGGAAUCUUCGGCAAUGGGGGCAACCCUGACCGAGCAACGCCGCGUGAGUGAAGAAGGUUUUCGGAUCGUAAAGCUCUGUUGUAAGUCAAGAACGAGUGUGAGAGUGGAAAGUUCACACUGUGACGGUAGCUUACCAGAAAGGGACGGCUAACUACGUG